rnacentral:rRNA from 1 species
UACGAAGGGGGCUAGCGUUGCUCGGAAUCACUGGGCGUAAAGGGUGCGUAGGCGGGUCUUUAAGUCAGGGGUGAAAUCCUGGAGCUCAACUCCAGAACUGCCUUUGAUACUGAAGAUCUUGAGUUCGGGAGAGGUGAGUGGAACUGCGAGUGUAGAGGUGAAAUUCGUAGAUAUUCGCAAGAACACCAGUGGCGAAGGCGGCUCACUGGCCCGAUACUGACGCUGAUGCACGAAAGCGUGGGUAGCAAACAGG